GAUGAACGCUAGCGAUAGGCCUAACACAUGCAAGUCGAGGGGCAGCACAUGAGUAGCAAUACGAUGGUGGCGACCGGCGCACGGGUGAGUAACACGUAUGCAACCUACCUUUAACAGGGGAAUAACCCGUUGAAAAACGGACUAAUACUCCAUAACACAGGGGUCCCGCAUGGGAAUAUUUGUUAAAGAUUUAUCGGUUGAAGAUGGGCAUGCGUUCCAUUAGCUUGUUGGUGAGGUAACGGCUCACCAAGGCCACGAUGGAUAGGGGAACUGAGAGGUUUAUCCCCCACACUGGAACUGAGACACGGUCCAGACUCCUACGGGAGGCAGCAGUGAGGAAUAUUGGUCAAUGGAGGCAACUCUGAACCAGCCAAGUCGCGUGAAGGAUGAAGGUCUUAUGGAUUGUAAACUUCUUUUGUCAGGGAAUAAAGUGCGGCACGUGUGCUGUAUUGCAAGUACCUGAAGAAUAAGGAUCGGCUAACUCCGUGCCAGCAGCCGCGGUAAUACGGAGGAUCCAAGCGUUAUCCGGAUUUAUUGGGUUUAAAGGGUGCGUAGGCGGGCUGAAAAGUCAGCGGUGAAAGUUCGUGGCUCAACCACGAAAUUGCCGUUGAAACUUUCAGUCUUGAGUGUGGACGAGGCAGAUGGAAUUCGUAGUGUAGCGGUGAAAUGCUUAGAUAUUACGAAGAACUCCGAUUGCGUAGGCAGUUUGCCAGGCCACAACUGACGCUGAGGCACGAAGGUGCGGGUAUCAAACAGGAUUAGAUACCCUGGUAGUCCGCACAGUAAACGAUGAAUACUAACUGUUUGCGAUAUACGGCAAGUGGUAAAGCGAAAGCGUUAAGUAUUCCACCUGGGGAGUACGCCGGCAACGGUGAAACUCAAAGGAAUUGACGGGGGCCCGCACAAGCGGAGGAACAUGUGGUUUAAUUCGAUGAUACGCGAGGAACCUUACCCGGGCUUGAAUUGCAUUUGAAUGUAGCGGAAACGUUGCAGCCAGCAAUGGCAAAUGUGAAGGUGCUGCAUGGUUGUCGUCAGCUCGUGCCGUGAGGUGUCGGCUUAAGUGCCAUAACGAGCGCAACCCUCAUCGAUAGUUACUAACAGGCAAUGCUGAGGACUCUAUCGAGACUGCCGGCGUAAGCUGUGAGGAAGGUGGGGAUGACGUCAAAUCAGCACGGCCCUUACGUCCGGGGCGACACACGUGUUACAAUGGGGGGGACAGCAGGCAGCGAGACGGCGACGUCGAGCGAAUCCUUUAAACCCCCUCUCAGUUCGGAUCGAAGUCUGCAACCCGACUUCGUGAAGCUGGAUUCGCUAGUAAUCGCGCAUCAGCCAUGGCGCGGUGAAUACGUUCCCGGGCCUUGUACACACCGCCCGUCAAGCCAUGGAAGUUGGGGGUGCCUGAAGUGCGUUACCGCAAGGAGCGUCCUAGGGCAAAACCGAUAACUGGGGCU
rnacentral:rRNA from 1 species